rnacentral:rRNA from 1 species
UACGUAGGGCGCAAGCGUUGUCCGGAAUUAUUGGGCGUAAAGCGCGUGUAGGCGGCCAGGUAAGUCCGUUCUGAAAGCCCGGGGCUCAACCCCGGGAGGCGGAUGGAUACUGCUUGGCUCGAGUCCGGAAGAGGCGAGUGGAAUUCCCGGUGUAGCGGUGAAAUGCGCAGAUAUCGGGAGGAACACCAAUGGCGAAGGCAGCUCGCUGGGACGGUACUGACGCUGAGACGCGAAAGCGUGGGGAGCAAACAGG